rnacentral:rRNA from 1 species
GAUGAACGCUGGCGGCAUGCCUUACACAUGCAAGUCGAACGGCAGCACGGGAGCUUGCUCCUGGUGGCGAGUGGCGAACGGGUGAGUAAUACAUCGGAACGUACCCUGAAGUGGGGGAGUAACGUAGCGAAAGUUACGCUAAUACCGCAUAUUCUGUGAGCAGGAAAGAGGGGGAGUCGCAAGACCUCUUGCUUUAGGAGCGGCCGAUGUCGGAUUAGCUAGUUGGUGAGGUAAAGGCUCACCAAGGCGACGAUCCGUAGCGGGUCGUGAGAGGAUGAUCCGCCACACUGGGACUGAGACACGGCCCAGACUCCUACGGGAGGCAGCAGUGGGGAAUUUUGGACAAUGGGCGCAAGCCUGAUCCAGCCAUGCCGCGUGAGUGAAGAAGGCC